rnacentral:lncRNA from 1 species
GCAGAAGUUGACGGGCGCCAGGCCGGGCAGGUAGAAAGCGCCGCUCCGGCGCGGGCCAGGAACCGCCCCCAGCAGGAGCAGCGACAGCAGCAACAGCCGCGGCCACCGAGGUGGAGACAACACCGGCAGCCUCGCGCUCAUGAUAGUUGUUUCGGGGAAAGGGCAAUCAAACCUAGGGGGUCAAGAGGGAAGGAGGGGUGGGGAGUCUCGGAGACGACUACAAGGCCGCCAGAGAUAAAGGAAGCCGGCCCCCAGAAGGCUAGUUCCGGUUGCGCUAGGAGACACCCCGGGUCCCGCAACAGAAACCGAAGCGGACCGCAACAGAGCAUGCGCACCGCCGUCUGCACAUGCUCAGUGAGAACGGUCGCAGGCACCAGGAGGAGUUUCCGGGAGGGAGCGGGGGCGAAAUCCACUUUCCGGGUUUUCCGCGCGCCAGCUGAGGUGGUUGCUGGGAGAGGUGGUUGCUGGGAGAGCUGUUCCGGCGCUCACGUUCCAAUUCCAAAUUACAAAUUCCGAUCUAGAGCUCCCACGCUUGGGGGCUGUGGAGCGCUCGCCAGCCGCUCCCCGUUUGCUGCUGGGUCUUACGAAGUUCUCAUAUCCAUCAUACAGUUUCUUUGUCACACUGUCCGCGGCACGCCAGUCCCUAUGACAGAAAGCACCUGCGGUCUGUCUGGAGGCGGAGUUGGUGGCGGAGAGAAAAAGUUCUGGAGACACCUGGUUGGGAGCAGGCUAAGGAAACAAAUGGGGAGGAAUUAGCCACAAAUCCUCAAAUAGACAGCUACUCAAAGGCAUCUUCACGGACAAUUUCCAAGCAUUGGAUGCAGUGGUGCAUUCUUGCAUUGGGCAGUGAUUGUGUGCACACAUCUCUUUAAGGGAGAGUGGAAAUGGGGUGAGGAGGAAAAUGGGAGUAGGAUAGAGUGUAGCGUUGACAUUUAUUUUCUUUAAAGGAAGACCCGAGCAUACCUGAGAGCUCAGUGAAGAAAGUAGUUCUGGCGAAUCGGAUUAAUAUGCACCACUGAAACUUGACCUUCGGCCGGCGCGGUGGCUCACGCCUGUAAUCCCAGCACUUUGGGAGGCCGAGAUGGGCGGAUCACGAGGUCAGAAGAUCGAGACCAUCCUGGCUAACACGGUGAAACCCCGUCUCUACUAAAAAUACAAAAAAAUUAGCCGAGCGUGGUGGCGGGCUCCUGUAGUCCCAGCUACUUGGGAGGCUGAGGCAGGAGAAUGGCGUGAACCCGGGAGGCGGAGCUUGCGGUAAGCCGAGAUCGCGCCACUGCACUCCAGCCUGGGCGACUGAGCACGACUCCGUCUCAAAAAAAAAAAAAAAAAAACAAAAAAAAAACUUGACCUUCAUUAUAUCUCACUGCCCUCAUCCCAAACAUUUCCUCUCCCAGUUUUCCAGGAAACGGCAUCGCUGCCCAUCUCUUUUCAGGCCCCAACCCUGGAGAAGAACCUAAAUUUCUCAUUUCCUCACUACCUACCUCCAGUCCUUCAGCAGGUCCCGUUGGUUGGGCUGCUAAACUAUGGGCUAAAUCCUUUCAGUACUUUCCAUGCCCACAGCUACCACUCUGGUCCAAGCCAAAUUCUUAGUUCCCCUGGACUUCUUACUGCAGUAGCCUCUCAGCUUCCACUCUUGGCAAAAUCAAUUUUAUAAAACCUUGAAAUCCCUUAAUACCACUCGUCUGCUUAAACCUCGGCAUCCCACAUUUACCACUAUCAGGAAGGAUCACGUUUGUUUGUUUGCUGUCUCAUUCCCCCAUUUAUAUGUGAAUUCCACGGGUAAGGGCCUGCUCCUACAUCCCACACCUCUACAUCCACAGAGCCUAGAGACCGCAGGCGCGGGGAAAGCACUCCACGACCAUCACUGGCCAGGCCACAAGAGUGCUGGAUCUAAAUUUGGAACCGGACUUUCAGAGCUGAAAUAAACCUGAGGUUUUCCAGGGGCUUUUAACCUCCUUUUACAGCCAAGGAUGCGCCUAAGAAAGGGGAGAGGCUUCCGUGACUUCCUGCAGUAACGCAGCCACUAGAGAUUGAGACUACAACGACUUGGGAGUCUAAAAGUCUGCAACCUUUUCCACUCCAGAGCUCAAUGUUUCCUCAAUCCCCCGGGAUCGGCAUCAGCAAAAACCCGGAGAAGCGGAGCCUUUCUCAAAGAAAAUGACCUCCAGACUCAUGCUACCAUCUCGACCGGUGCAAGUAUCACGCAUGCGCAGGGCCGGCCGCCCGGCCGCACCUCGCCAACUCCUACUCGGACACGUCAUCUAGGUCGGCCUGGGUCUGGUGGGAGGGGCCGGGGGCGGGGCUCGUACGCGGGGCGAAGUGGUCCCCCUACUUCCGGAUCCGGCCUCACCUGGCCAACGCCUCAUUCGGGGUUCCUUGGUUACGUGGCUGCGGUGUCUACCCGGUGCUGGGGCGUGGCGGAGAGAGACCGCCCCGCCCUCCACGCAGGCCACAAAAUGGAGGCCCUGCCCUGUGGGCUUUUGUGGCCUGGGCGCUGUCGUGCCGAAAGACGAAAGUGACAAUUCCAGUUGCAAACUGGAAAGAAAUGGAGUUUUUCCUUCAUUCUCCCCAUGAUCGUGACGGUCCUUUUCUCAAAGUACUAAUACUUUUAAUGGGACUGUAAAACUUGAGGGAUAUGACUCUCUCCUCUCCUCUGCUUCAGAUUGCAUUUGCCAACUCUGAUUUACCGCCAAUACUAUGGUGCUGUCAUAUUCAUAGAGACAGAAAGUAGAGCAGUGGUUGUAGAGAGAGUCUGCAGAAGGAGGGAUGGGGAUUUACUGUUUAAUGGCAUACGGUUUCAGUAUGGGUUGGUGAAAAAGUUGGGAUGAAUGGUGAUGACUGCACAACAAUGCAAAUAUGCUAAUGUCACAGAAGUGUACACUUAAAAAUGGUUAGACGGUAAGUUUUCUAUUAUGUAUAUUUUACCACAAUUUUUUUUUAAAUGCAACAGAGUCUCGCUGUUGCCUAGGCUGGAGUGCAGUGGCAGGAUCUCAGCUCACUGCAACCUCCGCCUUCCAGGUUCAAGCGAUUCUUGUGCCUCAGCCUCCCAAGUAACUGGGAUUACAGGUGCCAGCCACCACGCCCAGCUAAUUUUUGUAUGUUUAGUAGAGAUGGGGUUUCACCAUGUUGGCCAGGCUAGGCUGUUCUCGAACUCCUGAACUCAGGUGAUCCGCCUGCCUUGGUCUCCCCCAGUGCCGAGAUUACACGCGUGAGCCACCACGCCGGGCCCCACAGUUUUUUGUUUUUGUCUUUUAAAUUUUUUUUAACAGCAUUUGUGUCUUUUUUUCUUUUUCUUUUGUUUUUGAAACAGAAUCUCACUCUGUCACCAAGCUGGAGUGCAGUGGCGCCAUCUUGGCUCACUGCAACCUCUGACUCCCUGGUUCAAGCAAUUCUCCUGCCUCAGCCUCUCCAGUAGCUGGGGUUACAGGCACGCACCACCCCGCCCAGCUAAUUUUUGUAUUUUUAGUAGAGAUGGGGUUUCACCAUAUUGGCCAGGGUGGUCUCCAUCUCCUGACCCCGUGAUCCACCUUGCCUUCCCAAAGUGCUGGGAUUACAGGUGUGAGCCACUGCACCCAACCUAAAUGGCAUUUGUUUCUUCCACUCCUCUCUGCCAGAAUAAUUUGGACAGCCUUUUCUGAGUUUCCCAUGACGACUUCUGUAUAAGAUUGUCGGAUAUAGCAAAUAAAAGUACAGUAUACCCAGGUAAAUUUUAAUUUCAGAUGAUCAAUGAAUAAUUUUUUAGUAUAAGUACAUUCCAACUAUUACAUGGGACAUAAGGGUAUUUUAUCUGAUCACCCUACUUUUGUGUCAAGUUAAAAUUAUUAGCAAAAGUGCUUCCGUUUUUAGGAAGUGCACACUGUACUCUAGUAGUUAGGCAGGAGAACAGGGUCUGCGAGCAGGGAACCUAAGGCCGUUUCACACUGACUUCCUAGAGCCAUUUGGAAAGGAAAACCCUAACUUUCCACUCCUAAGUAACAAAAGGCCCAGAGGCCACUCCCUUUGCAAACCCCCACCUUUUCUGUGCCGCAGCUGGAAAAUUGAAAGUGCCUCUGAUUGGUUGCUUUCUGCAACUAAUCAGAUGUUUGCAUAGAGUGUAACUUUGUAACUUCACUUCAGCCUCUGAUUGGUUGCUGUCCCCAACCAAUCAGACUGAUUGUGGGCCAAGGCUUCGUUUGAAUAGAAGUGCAACUUUGUAACUUCACUUUAGCCUCUGAUUGCAGGCCACCACUUCAUUUACAUGGGGUGAGCACCAAGUAAGUGGCCAAUGGGAAACAUCUAGAGGGUAUUUGGACCCGAGAAGAUUCUGUAUCUGGGGCCCUUGAGCUGCUGCUCAGCCUGCUCCCACACUGUGAAGUGUACUUUCACUUUCAAUAAAUCUCUGCUUUCCUUGCUUCAUUCUUUCCUAGCUUUACUGUGCGUUUUGUCCAAUUAUUUGUUCAAAACGCCAAGAACCUGGACAACUUGCUGUCCGCAACCAAUCAGACUGAUUGUGGGCUGAAUCUUCAUUUGCAUGGAAGUGCAACUUUGUAACUUCACUUUAGCCUCUGAUUGCGGGCCACCACUUCAUUUACAUGAGGCAAACACCAAGUAGGUGGCCAAUGGGAAACCUCUAGAGGGUAUUUGGACCUGAGAAGAUUCUGUAUCCGGGGUUCUUGAGCUACUGCUUGGGCUCACUCCCACACUGUGAAGUGUACUUUCACUUUCAAUAAAUCUCUGCUUUCCUUGCUUUGCAGUGCGUUUUGUUCAAUUCUUUGUUCAAAACCCCAAGAAUCUGGACAACUUGCACUCAAGACCCUCUACGGGUUUGGCGAGCCAGUCUUUCAGUGGCUGUUUUCUAGUAGCUCCUUGGCAAUUGAGGGGAACUGGCUGGGACCACUCUCCAGUGCUGUCUGAAGGCCAAGGAGUGAACAGGGAUGGCUGCCCUGCCUUGAAGAGGGAAGGACUCUUUUCUAUCCUUUCCAGCUAUAGUCCCUGAUCCCUACAUGUGAUGCGGUUGGCAGCGGAAGCUCAUCCUGGGCGAACUCACACACUUUUCAGGAGACUUAAACCUUUUCUUAUGCUAAGUUCUUCCCUUCCCCUACUCAUCUGGCUAAAGGACAGACUAUGCAAAAAAGGUUAUACAAGUCAGAGGGUCUGAGCAUGUCGGAGGUGGUCUGUGUGGGGCAUGGGGUGGGGGGAAAAUUCAUGAAAGGCAAUUUAUUGCCUAAAUUUAAAGGGUUAAAGGGUUGCUUUAAGUGGGAUAGAAAAACCUUAAGGAAAGUUCAUAGUAGGUCCUCAGUGGUGGAGUGUUGUGGGAAGUCAGGGACCCUGAAUGAAGGGACUGGCUGAAGCCAUGGCAGAAGAACAUAAACUGUGAAGAUUUCAUGGACAUUUAUUAGUUCCCCAAAUUAACACUUUUAUAAUUUCUUACGCCUGUCUUUACUGCAAUCUCUGAACAUAAAUUGUGAAGAUUUUAUGGACAUUUAUCACUUCCCCAAUCAAUACUCUUGUGAUUUCCUAUGCCUGUCUUUACUUUAAUCUCUUAAUCCCGUCAUCUUCGUAAGCUGAGGAGGAUGUAAGUCGCCUCAGGACCCUGUGAUGAUUGUGUUAACUGCACAAAUUGUUUGUAGAGCAUGUGUGUUUGAACAGUAUCAAAUCUGGGCACCUUAAGAACAGGAUAACAGCAACGUUCAAGGAACAAGGGAGAUAAUCUUAACGUCUGGCUGCCUAUGGGCCGGGCAGAACAGAGCCAUAUUUCUCUUCUUUCUAAAGCAAAUAGGAGAAAUAUCGCUGAAUUCUUUUUCUCAGCAAGGAACAGCCCUGAGACAGAGAAUGUGUGCCUAGGGGUAGUCCUCCAAAAUGGCCACUCUGGGGACGGCUGUCUUUUAUGGUCGUAGAUAAGGGAAGAAAUAAGCCCCGGACUCCCAUAGUGCUCCCAGGCUUAUUAGGACGAGGAAAUUCCCACCUAAUAAAUUUUGGUCAGACUGGUUGUCUGCUCUCAAACCCUGUCUCCUGAUAAGAUGUUAUCAAUGACAAUGCGUGCCCGAAACUUCACUCGCAAUUUUAAUUUCGCCCUGGUCAUGUGGUCCCGUGAUCUCACCCUGCCUCCAUUUGCCUUGUGAUAUUUUAUUACCUUGUGAAGCAUGUGAUCUCUGUGACCCACACCCUAUUCAUACACUCCCUCCCCUUUUGGAAAUCACUAAUAAAAACUUGCUGGUUUUACGGCUUAGGGGGCAUCACAGAACCUGCCGACAUAUGAUGUCUCCCCUGGACACCCAGCUUUAAAAUUUCUCUCUUUGUACUCUUUCCCUUUAUUUCUCAGACCAGCCAACACUUAGGGAAAAUAGAAAAGGACCCACGUGAAAUAUCAGGGGCUGAAUUUCCCCCGAUAGUGGAGGGAACCAUCCCAAAGCAGUGCCAGCCCCCAUCUAAGGUCAGAGACAUCUGACAGACUAAAUCAGGGCCCUAAAGUAGGGACGCCCCUGGGGACCCCAGUCUGGGUUCAGAAUUUUUUCAGGGGGAUGCCCUGGGUAAAGUUUGGGUCACCUAAUGGGCCCUCUACUUUUCAAAGUCCUCUUCUCUGUUCCAGACCACUAUGGGCAACUCUCUAUCUAUUCGACCUGAUUCCACUAUGGGCAAUUCUACACCUGUUCCACCGGAUUCCUCACUUGGCUACAUCAUCCACCAUUGGAAUCAAUUUGACCCUGACACUCUAAAGGGAAAAUGUAUAAUUUUUUUCUGUAAUACUGUUUGGCCCCAUUAUGAGCUGCCCAGCCCCCAGCAAUGGGCAGUCAGUGGUAGCCUUAAUUAUGACACCAUCCUGCAAUUAGACCUACUUUGCAAGAGGCUGGGAAGAUGGUCAGAAGUCCCAUAUGUACAGGCUUUUAUCAAAAUAUCAAAAACCUAACAAUCUGUGAAACUCCCAGAACCCACCCCCCAAAGGAAAGUACUAAGGCAGAACUAGAUAUUAUAGAUGACCCUCUUUUACAAGGGCUAGCUGUCUCUCAGGGUGAACAGCAACCAUCCCCAUAAAGCCCCUUGCCAAGUGCUCCUGAGGCUAAAACCCAGGAGCAAACACCAGGGACCCUACUAAAUCCCCCUCACACUUGGAGAGGAAUGCCAUAUUCAAUUCUCUCUCCAGCCCUGCUACCUCUUAGGGAAGUAGCAGGAACCAAGGGGCCAGUCCUAGUGCAGGCCCCCUUCUCUAUAAUUUAUACAUACAAUAUAAGGAAAAGCUAGGAAACUAUUCUGAGAAUCCUAAGAAACUUGCAGAUGGGUUCCAGCGUUUGACCUUAGCCUCUGAUCUAUCAUGGAGAGAUGUUCAAUUCAUUCUAGCAACCUGUUACACACCCUCAGAAAAGGAAUGAAUCUCUGAGGCCGCCCACCUGCAAGCAAUGAAUUAUUUGCCCAAAACUCUCAGGGCAAUCAUCCCGGCCCAGACACAGUUCCCACUAUUGAUCAUAAUUGGGACUAUAACACUCCUGAGGAAAUGAACAACCGGGCUAAAUUUCUUGAGGCUCUCCUUGGAGGAAUGAGAAAGGGAAUAACUAAAGGCAGUAAAUUAUGAUAAAGUAAGGGAGGUUACACAAGGCAAGGAGGAAAAUCCAGCCAUGUUUUAUGGCAGGCUGGAGGGAGACUUUAAAAAAUAUACUAAUCUGGACCCUUCCUCUCCCGAAGGCAAAAUAUUAAUAGCACAGCAUUUCAUUAGCCAAUCUGCCCCAGACAUUAGAGAUAAGCUCCAAAAGCUACAGAUGGGGCCACAAACUAAUCAAAAUCAGCUUACUUAUAUCACAUUUAUGGUGUAUAACAAUCGUGACCUGAAGGAAGGAAAAAGGGAACAGAGUAAACAAAAUGGCAAGCCAAAAGUAUGGCAGCCAUCAUUGACGAUGCCCUGAAUGUACAAAGAGUGUCUAAGGGAAACCCGAAGGGCCAUAAAGAUAAUGCCAGCAAAGGCUCUUGCUUCAAAUGCAAGAAAAGAAGACAUUGGGCAAAGGAUUGUGCUAAGUCCCCGCCAGGCCCCUGCCGUCAAUGCAAGGGCACCAGUCAUGACCCCUGGCACUGGAGAAUUGACUGCCCAUGUUCCCACUGAGGGGCUCAGUCAGUCAAAACUCUAGCAGUGCAAAAGGAGGAAUUAGAUGAAGACUGAAGGGGCCUGAGGUCUUCCUCACUGCCCCUGUUCAGGAACAUUGUAAUUACUACUGAGGAGCCCCAGGUAACUCUGGACGUCAUGGGCACCCAAAUUCAGUUUCUUUUUGAUGCAGGAGCAAAUUACUCUGUUCUUACUGCUUAUGCAGUAAGGCGUUCCUCCCAGUCCACAAGUGUUAUGGGAAUAGAAUGGAAGCCACAAACGAGUUUUUAUUUUAUUUUAUUUUAUUUUAUUUUACUUUAAGUUCUGGGAUACAUAUGCAGAAUGUGCAGGUUUGUUACAUAGGUAUACAUGUGCCAUGGUGGUUUGCUGCACCUAUCGACCCAUCAUCUAGGUUUUAAGUCCCACAUGGAUUAGGUAUUUGUCCUAAUGCUCUUCCUCCCCUUGCCCCCAACCCCCCAACAGGCCUUGGUGUGUGAUGUUCCCCUCCCUGUGUCCAUGUGUUCUCAUUGUUCACCUCCCACUUAUUAGUGAGAACAUGCGGUGUUUGGUUUUCUGUUCCUGUGUUAGUUUGCUGAGAAUGAUGGUUUCCAGCUUCAUCCAUGUUCCUGCAAAGGACAUGAACUCAUUCUUUUUUAUGGUUGCGUAGUAUUCCAUGGUGUAUAUGUGCCAUAUUUUCUUUAUCCCGUCUAUCACUGAUGGGCAUUUGGGUUGGUUCCAAGUCUUUGCCAUGGUAAAUAGUGUUGCAGUAAACAUACAUGUGCAUGUAUCUUUAUAAUAGAAUGAUUUAUAAUCCUUUGGGUAUAUAUCCAGUAAUGGGAUUGCUGGGUCAAAUGGUAUUUCUGGUUCUAGAUCCCUGAGGAAUCACCACACUGUCUUCCACAAUGGUUGAACUAAUUUACACUCCCACCAACAGUGUAAAAAUGUUCCUACUUCUCCACAGCCUCACCAGCCUGUUUCCUGACUUUUUAAUGAUCACCAUUCUAACUGGUGUGAGAUGGUAUCUCACUGUGAUUUUGAUUUGCAUUUCUCUAACAACAAGUGAUGAGCAUUUUUUCAUAUGUUUGUUGGCUGCAUAAAUGUCUUCUUUUGAGAAGUGUCUGUUCAUAUCCUUUGCCUACUUUUUGAUGGGGUUGACAAACAAGAUUCAUUACUCCUCCUUUGAUUUGUCAAUUUGAGAAACAACUCUUCCAACAGGAUUUCCUAGUAGUACCAAGCUGCCCAAUCCCCCUGUUGGGAAGAGAUAUUAUGGUUAAAAUGGAGGCACUACUACAAUUUAAGCAUCACCCAUUGAAAUUGCUGAUAGUCAAAAAUACAGUGUUCCAGACCACAUUAAUAAAUAGGUUAACCCGCUGGCAUUGGUAUACUGGAAAACCAGGGAAGGCUAAAACAGCAGUGCCAGUCAAAAUACAUUUUAAAGACCUCAGCUAGUUUCCCAAUUGAAAAUAAUAUCCAAUUAAGCAGGAAGCAAGAAAAGGCCUAGCACCCAUAAUUGAGGUAUUACUUAUUACAUGGGCUCUUAAAAUCCUGUAAUUCCCCUUGCAAUACCUGUUCUAAAGCCUUUGGGGGAAUACCAGUUAGUAUAGGACUGGAGAAUACCGGUUAGUAUAGGACCUGAGAAUAAUUAAUGAGGCUGUUAUCCCCGUCCACCCACUGGUGGCAGAUCCAUAUACCCUUAUGGCUCAGGUACAAGGGGAUGCAAAAUGGUUCUCAGUCCUGGACCUAAAAGAUGCUUUCUUCUCCAUCCCUCUGGCCCCAGAGUCCCAAUACCUUUUUGCCUUUGAAUGGGAAAAUCAAUAUGAGGGAAAAACAGUAAUAUACCUGGACAGUGCACCCUUAGGGCAUUCAGGAUAGCCCCCAUUGGAUUGCCCGAGCCUUAGAGAGGGAUCUGAAGGAUCUGAAAGUGAAAAAUGGGAAUAUACUCCAGUAUGUGGAUGACUUUCUUGUGUGUAGCCCAAACCCAGGAGGUUUCUGACCAAACUACUAUAAAAACUUUGAAUUUCCUGGCAGACAGGGGAUACAAAGUGUCCGACAAGAAGGCACAGAUUAUCCUCCAAUGGGUGCAAUAUUUAGGGUAUGUCUUAACACCCAGAGCCUGACAAAUAUCCCC